AAGAAGCAAACUCCACGGAGAGACGGUUGCAAAAGCAAGGUGACGGACAUCGCCGGUCACGUCAGAACUCUCAGCCAGUAAACCUAGCAACGGAUUCGUAGAGCGAUUCGACUGUGUCCUCUUUAUAUCUCCCCUACGUCUUCGUGACGGACGAUCGCUGCCGCGCGGAACUUAAGACGAUCGUACAAGACGUCAAAGACAGGAAGUACGUCUCUAAGAAAGCUGCGUAUGUUGGCGUCAUCGUCGUCGACUCGGCGCCCGUUGACAUGGAAACCCCCGUCAUGCGUCUGACAAGACUGUUAGAAAAAUACCUGAAGCUGCCGUAUUUCAGACAGCCGCAAAUUUGUUAUUUUGUAGAAAAGGACUCCAACUCGCCGAACGUCUUGAAAAGCACGAUACGGGACGCAAUGGAGAUGUCUGGAGAAGACUCGUACUUACAGAGGGAGAGCCGGCUCACCAGGAUGAAGCGGUGCUUAGGACUCCGGAGGAAACCAUCACACAGAGAGGGGGAACUAGAAAGAGCGAGGGAGCAAGAGAGAACCACUAGAUUACUCCUUCAGAAUACAACUCAGCUGGACACUCAAGUAUGAGAUGGAGGCCGGCAGGCACAGCCUUAUGCAGCCUCAUUGAACGUCACCAAGAACGCCAUCUUGUUGCUAGGUUACGAAAAUUGCUUUGGACAAUCUGUCGAUAUUUCUCUUUAGAAGAAACCAGAGACCAGCAUUAAAACUGGAGACGAUGCCAUACGCAAACUCAAUGCCACGUGGCCUUAAAAUUAUUAUUGUUGCUGUUGUUGCAAAUACAAUGCAAGAAUUCCAUGUAUUGUUAGAAGUCGAGAGGAGACUUUUAAAGUUUUUAACGGAGAGCAACGGAAACAGAUGUACAGUACGUGAAAUAAAUGAUUUUUGAUCUGAG